UACGGAGGGUGCAAGCGUUAUCCGGAUUCACUGGGUUUAAAGGGUGCGUAGGCGGGUUGGUAAGUCCGUGGUGAAAUCCCCAAGCUUAACUUGGGAACUGCCGUGGAUACUAUCAAUCUUGAAUAUCGUGGAGGUAAGCGGAAUAUGUCAUGUAGCGGUGAAAUGCUUAGAUAUGACAUAGAACACCAAUUGCGUAGGUAGCUUACUACACGAUCAUUGACGCUGAGGCACGAAAGCGUGGGGAUCAAACAGG
rnacentral:rRNA from 1 species